rnacentral:tRNA from 2 species
AUUACUUUGGCAGAUUAGUGCAUUGAAUUUAGAAUUCAAUAAUGUGAAUUUUUACAUGUAAUA